rnacentral:rRNA from 1 species
GACGGAGGAUGCAAGCGUUAUCCGGAAUGAUUGGGCGUAAAGCGUCCGCAGGUGGCAGUUCAAGUCUGCUGUCAAAGACCGGGGCUUAACUUCGGAAAGGCAGUGGAAACUGAACAGCUAGAGUAUGGUAGGGGCAGAGGGAAUUCCUGGUGUAGCGGUGAAAUGCGUAGAUAUCUGGAGGAACCCGGUGGCGAAGGCGGCAUCCUGGACCAAUAUUGACGCUGAGGAGCGAAAGCCAGGGGAGCAAACGGG